GGUCAUGAGCUCCGACGCGUAGCCCCGGCUGGUCGGACGGCAACCCUCCCGCGCGGCGGGGUGCCCCGGGUGAGGACCUGGCUCGAGCGGCACCCGCCGUCCGAGCAACGCGCCAGAC
rnacentral:ncRNA from 2 species